rnacentral:rRNA from 1 species
GGUGAAAAGCACCCCGGAAGGGGAGUGAAAUAGAACCUGAAACCGUGUGCUUACAAGUAGUCAGAGCCCGUUAAUGGGUGAUGGCGUGCCUUUUGUAGAAUGAACCGGCGAGUUACGAUUUGAUGCAAGGUUAAGCAGUAAAUGUGGAGCCGUAGCGAAAGCGAGUCUGAAUAGGGCGUUUAGUAUUUGGUCGUAGACCCGAAACCAGGUGAUCUACCCUUGGUCAGGUUGAAGUUCAGGUAACACUGAAUGGAGGACCGAACCGACUUACGUUGAAAAGUGAGCGGAUGAACUGAGGGUAGCGGAGAAAUUCCAAUCGAACCUGGAGAUAGCUGGUUCUCUCCGAAAUAGCUUUAGGGCUAGCCUCAAGUGAUGAUUAUUGGAGGUAGAGCACUGUUUGGACGAGGGGCCCCUCUCGGGUUACCG